rnacentral:rRNA from 1 species
AGGACGAACGCUGGCGGCGUGCCUAACACAUGCAAGUCGAACGGACUGAGUUCCUUCGGGGAUGAAAGUUAGUGGCGGACGGGUGAGUAACGCGUGAGCAACCUGCCUUUCAGAGGGGGAUAACGUUUUGGAAACAGACGCUAAUACCGCAUAACGCUGCGGAGUCGCAUGGCUCUGCAGCCAAAGGAGCAAUCCGCUGAGAGAUGGGCUCGCGUCCGAUUAGAUAGUUGGCGGGGUAACGGCCCACCAAGUCGACGAUCGGUAGCCGGACUGAGAGGUUGAUCGGCCACAUUGGGACUGAGACACGGCCCAGACUCCUACGGGAGGCAGCAGUGGGGAUAUUGCACAAUGGGCGCAAGCCUGAUGCAGCAACGCCGCGUGAGGGAAGAAGGUUUUCGGAUUGUAAACCUCUGUCCUUGGUGACGAAGAAAUGACGGUAGCCGAGGAGGAAGCCACGGCUAACUACGUGCC